rnacentral:tRNA from 1 species
GGCCACGUAGCCCAAUUGGUAGAGGCAGCGGAUUCAAAACCCGCCCAGUGUCGGUUCGAGUCCGACCGUGGCUA